rnacentral:rRNA from 1 species
UGCCCGGUAGCUAAAUGCGGAAGAGAUAAGUGCUGAAAGCAUCUAAGCACGAAACUUGCCCCGAGAUGAGUUCUCCCUGACCCUUUAAGGGUCCUGAAGGAACGUUAAAGACGAUGACGUUGAUAGGCCGGGUGUGUAAGCGCAGCGAUGCGUUGAGCUAACCGGUACUAAUGAACCGUGAGGCUUAACCUUACAACGCCGAAGCUGUU